rnacentral:rRNA from 1 species
GAUGAACGCUGGCGGCGUGCCUAAUACAUGCAAGUCGAGCGAACAGACGAGGAGCUUGCUCCUCUGACGUUAGCGGCGGACGGGUGAGUAACACGUGGAUAACCUACCUACAAGACUGGGAUAACUUCGGGAAACCGGAGCUAAUACCGGAUAAUAUAUUGAACCGCAUGGUUCAAUAGUGAAAGACGGUUUUGCUGUCACUUAUAGAUGGAUCCGCGCCGCAUUAGCUAGUUGGUAAGGUAACGGCUUACCAAGGCAACGAUGCGUAGCCGACCUGAGAGGGUGAUCGGCCACACUGUAACUGAGACACGGUCCAGACUCCUACGGGAGGCAGCAGUAGGGAAUCUUCCGCAAUGGGCGAAAGCCUGACGGAGCAACGCCGCGUGAGUGAUGAAGGUCUUCGGAUCGUAAAACUCUGUUAUUAGGGAAGAACAAAUGUGUAAGUAACUAUGCACGUCUUGACGGUACCUAAUCAGAAAGCCACGGCUAACUACGUG